rnacentral:rRNA from 1 species
UACGGGGGGGGCAAGCGUUGUUCGGAAUUACUGGGCGUAAAGGGCUCGUAGGUGGCCAACUAAGUCAGACGUGAAAUCCCUCGGCUUAACCGGGGAACUGCGUCUGAUACUGGAUGGCUUGAGUUUGGGAGAGGGAUGCGGAAUUCCAGGUGUAGCGGUGAAAUGCGUAGAUAUCGGGAGGAACACCUGUGGCGAAAGCGGCGCACUGGACCACAACUGACGCUGAGGCGCGAAAGCUAGGGAAGCAAACAGG